rnacentral:lncRNA from 1 species
ACAUCCACGAUAGUCAUCAAAAUUAUCGUUUUGAUAACUCUUUUCCUCUUUGGGCCGAAUUGUUCUAAACCGUCUUUCCGUAUCGGGAUUAGUGCAGUGUCCUCAAGAUAUUUCGGCGAUAAUGAUAAGCUUGCGAAUUGCCUCACUUCUUCUUUCCUAAGGUUUGAAGAGAUUAGUUGAUAUGAGGGGAGGACCGGGGAGUUUGGAGACGUAGCCGAUGGUUAUGACCAAGGUUUUUCGAUCAAUCGACACUAUUGGAGUACUAUCUUUCUUCGGUCAUGUCAUUUCUUGGCUUCUCCCAGUCCAGUAAUCAUCAUUAUCAUUAAAAGUGCCUCUGGUUUUGACACCCUUGAUAGUAUAUUCACACUCAACGAAGAUGCCAAACAACACAUUGCUGCCUUGGGUGAAACGACUUAUCUAACAUCAUCACUCAUGACGAACGAGAACAUCGGCCAUGUCGAUGCAGCCAAAGUUUGAUUCUUACUCACGCGAACACAAUACACACUUCUCUCGCCAUCAAAACAUAUGAACGCACGAAUAUGCAGAUUAGUCCCCACUUCAAAGUAUGGUCAUUAUUCGUCGCUGCCUCUGUGAUUAGUGUCGUUGCGGAACCUAUGAUGGAUUGGUACUUACAGAGUAAGGCGUAUCAAUGAGACAACGUCUCAAAUACGGAUCAACGACUGGAGCGAUUUGAUGGGUGUGUUUGAUACGUUUUUGUGGGAUGAGAGGGUACAUGAGACGGGGUAUACGGGGAUUUGGGAUGAAGCUAAACGACUAGAAGCCCAGCAACCAUUGUAUUGAAUUGUGAAUGAAGCCUAGCUAUGGCGUGAUGUAGCAGAUGUUUACCAGCCGACAGCCGUAAUUCCUUAUGAUGUCACGACUACAACAAUAAUAAGCCUACUACUCUGUAGAGAAAUGUCUCAAGAACCUGUUCGUGUCACCCCUGUCUC